rnacentral:rRNA from 1 species
CAAUAGCGUAUAUUUAAGUUGUUGCAGUUAAAAAGCUCGUAGUUGGAUUUCUGGUGGGAGCGAUCGGUCUGGCGCUUAGCGCGAGUACUUGCAUCGUCUCCGGCCAUCCUUGGGGAGAGUCUGUCUGGCAUUAGGUUGUCGGGCAGAGGAUCCUCAUCGUUUACUGUGAAAAAAUUAGAGUGUUCAAAGUAGGCUUAUGCCGUUGAAUAUAUUAGCAUGGAAUAAUAAGAUAGGACUUUGGUACUAUUUUGUUGGUUUGCGCACCAAAGUAAUGAUUAAUAGGGACAGUUGGGGGUAUUCGUAUUCCGUUGUCAGAGGUGAAAUUCUUGGAUUUACGGAAGACGAACUACUGCGAAAGCAUUUACCAAGGAUGUUUUCAUUA